UACGUAGGGUGCAAGCGUUGUCCGGAAUUAUUGGGCGUAAAGAGCUCGUAGGCGGCUUGUCGCGUCGGCUGUGAAAACCUGGGGCUCAACCCCGGGCCUGCAGCCGAUACGGGCAAGCUAGAAUUCGGUAGGGGAGACUGGAAUUCCUGGUGUAGCGGUGAAAUGCGCAGAUAUCAGGAGGAACACCGGUGGCGAAGGCGGCAUCCUGGACCGGCAUUGACGCUGAGGCGCGAAAGCCAGGGGAGCAAACGGG
rnacentral:rRNA from 1 species